rnacentral:rRNA from 1 species
UACAGAGGUCUCGAGCGUUAGGCGGAAUCACUGGGCUUAAAGCGCGUGUAGGCGGAUCGUUAAGUGUCCGCGUGAAAUCCCACGGCUCAACCGUGGAACUGCCGGGCAUACUGGCGAUCUUGAGGCAUUCAGGGGCGAGCGGAACAAAUGGUGGAGCGGUGAAAUGCGUAGAUAUCAUUUGGAACGCCAAUGGUGAAAACAGCUCGCUGGGAAUGAUCUGACGCUGAGACGCGAAAGCCAGGGGAGCGAACGGG